AGCAGCCGCGGUAAUUCCAGCUCCAAUAGCGUAUAUUAAAGUUGUUGCAGUUAAAAAGCUCGUAGUUGAAUUUCGGGAUCAAUACGUCGGUCGUGCUUCGGUACGUACUGGCGUAAUUGAUUUCUCCCUUCUGACGAACCAUGAUGUCAUUAACUUGGUGUCAUGGGAAAUCAGGACUGUUACUUUGAAAAAAUUAGAGUGUUUAAAGCAGGCUCACGCUUGAAUACAUUAACAUGGAAUAAUGAAAUAGGACGUUCGAUCCUAUUUUGUUGGUUUUAGGAUCAACGUAAUGAUUAAUAGGGUAGUUGGGGGCAUUAGUAUUCAAUUGUCAGAGGUGAAAUUCUUGGAUUUAUUGAAGACUAACUACUGCGAAAGCAUUUGCCAAGGAUGUUUUCAUUAAUCAAGAACGAAAGUUAGGGGAUCGAAGACGAUCAGAUACCGUCGUAGUCUUAACCAUAAACUAUGCCGACUAGGGAUUCGGAUGAUGUUAAUUUUUUAAUGACUCAUUCGGCGCCUUACG
rnacentral:rRNA from 1 species